rnacentral:rRNA from 1 species
UGAAUGCUGGCGGCGUGCCUAACACAUGCAAGUCGAGCGGCAGCGAGGGGUGCUUGCACCCUGUCGGCGAGCGGCGAACGGCUGAGUAACGCGUAGGAAUUUGCCCCAAAGUGAGGAAUAACUGCCCGAAAGGGUAGCUAAUGCCGCAUAUGGUCUUCGGAUUAAAGGAUUUAUCCGCUUUGGGAGAAGCCUGCGUUGGAUUAGGUUGUUGGUAGGGUAAUGGCCUACCAAGCCGACGAUCCAUAGCUGGUCUGAGAGGAUGAUCAGCCAGACUGGAACUGAGACACGGUCCAGACUCCUACGGGAGGCAGCAGUGAGGAAUCUUCCACAAUGGGCGAAAGCCUGAUGGAGCAACGCCGCGUGAAGGAUGAAGGCCUUCGGGUUGUAAACUUCUUUUAUGAGUGAAGAAUAUGACGGUAACUCAUGAAUAAGCACCGGCUAACUACGUG